CCUACGGGAGGCAGCAGUGAGGAAUAUUGGUCAAUGGCCGAGAGGCUGAACCAGCCAAGUCGCGUGAGGGAAGACGGCCCUACGGGUUGUAAACCUCUUUUGUCGGGGAGCAAAGAGAGUCACGUGUUACUCAUUGAGAGUACCCGAAGAAAAAGCAUCGGCUAACUCCGGUCCAGCAGCCGCGGUAAUACGGAGGAUGCGACGGUUAUCUGGAUUUAUUGGGUUUAAAGGGUGCGCAGGGGGGGGUGCAAGUCAGCGGUAAAAUUGCGGGGCUCAACCCCGUACUGCCGUUGAAACUGCAUCCUUGGAGUGCGCGAGAAGAAUGCGGAAUGCGAGGUGUAGGGGUGAAAGGCAUAGAUAUCAGGCAGAACACCGAUGGCGAAGGCAGCAAACCGGCGCGCAACUGACGCUCAUGCACGAAAGCGUGGGUAUCGAACAGGAUUAGAUACCCUGGUAGUC
rnacentral:rRNA from 1 species